rnacentral:rRNA from 1 species
CCUACGGGUGGCAGCAGUGGGGGAUAUUGCACAAUGGGGGAAACCCUGAUGCAGCGACGCCGCGUGGGUGAAGAAGUAUUUCGGUAUGUAAAGCCCUAUCAGCAGGGAAGAAAGAAGACGGUACCUGACUAAGAAGCCCCGGCUAACUACGUGCCAGCAGCCGCGGUAAUACGUAGGGGGCGAGCGUUAUCCGGAUUCACUGGGUGUAAAGGGAGCGUAGACGGCCGUGCAAGCCAGGAGUGAAAGCCCGGGGCCCAACCCCGGGACGGCUCUUGGAACUGUGCGGCUGGAGUGCGGGAGGGGCAGGCGGAAUGCCUGGUGUAGCGGUGAAAUGCGUAGAUAUCAGGAGGAACACCGGCGGCGAAGGCGGCCUGCUGGACCGCGACUGACGUUGAGGCUCGAAAGCGUGGGGAGCGAACAGGAUUAGAUACCCGUGUAGUC